rnacentral:rRNA from 1 species
ACGGCGAGUGAAGCGGCAAAAGCUCAAAUUUGAAAUCCUUCGGGAGUUGUAAUUUGUAGGUUGGGAGACCCCGCGGCUAGUGGCACCAAGUCCCUUGGAACAGGGCGCCUUAGAGGGUGAGAGCCCCGUAGGUACCACAACACCGUCUUGUGUCUCCUCUCCAAAGAGUCGAGUUGUUUGGGAAUGCAGCUCAAAGUGGGUGGUAAAUUCCAUCUAAAGCUAAAUACCGGCGAGAGACCGAUAGCGAACAAGUACAGUGAUGGAAAGAUGAAAAGCACUUUGAAAAGAGAGUGAAACAGUACGUGAAAUUGUUGAAAGGGAAGGGCUUGCAAGCAGACACGGCCUUCGUGCCGGGCCAGCAUCGGUUGCUAGGGGUGGAUAAGGAACAAGGAAUGUAGCUCCUCGGAGUAUUAUAGCCUUGCGCGAUACACCCACUGGCGACCGAGGCCUGCGGUAUUCUUUACCUAGGAUGCUGGCGUAAUGGUUGCAAGCCGCCCGUCUUGAAAACACGGACCA